UACGAAGGGGGCUAGCGUUGCUCGGAAUCACUGGGCGUAAAGCGCACGUAGGCGGAUUGCUAAGUCAGGGGUGAAAUCCUGGAGCUCAACUCCAGAACUGCCUUUGAUACUGAGAGCUCGAGUCCGGGAGAGGUGAGUGGAACUGCGAGUGUAGAGGUGAAAUUCGUAGAUAUUCGCAAGAACACCAGUGGCGAAGGCGGCUCACUGGCCCGGUACUGACGCUGAGGUGCGAAAGCGUGGGGAGCAACAGGAUUAAGAU
rnacentral:rRNA from 1 species